UACGAAGGGGGCUAGCGUUGUUCGGAAUUACUGGGCGUAAAGCGCGCGCAGGCGGUCUUCCAAGUCAGUGGUGAAAGCCCGGAGCUCAACUCCGGAACUGCCAUUGAAACUGUUGGACUUGAGUACGAGGGAGGUGAGUGGAAUUCCCAGUGUAGAGGUGAAAUUCGUAGAUAUUGGGAAGAACACCGGUGGCGAAGGCGGCUCACUGGCUCGUAACUGACGCUCAGGCGCGACAGCGUGGGGAUCAAACAGG
rnacentral:rRNA from 1 species